rnacentral:rRNA from 1 species
UAAAGUGGCGAACGGCUGAGUAACACGUGGGCAACCUGCCCUUUGCACUGGGAUAGCCUCGGGAAACCGAGGUUAAUACCGGAUACUCCAUAUUUGUCGCAUGGCGAAUAUGGGAAAAGCUCCGGCGGCAAGGAUGGGCCGCGGCCUGUUAGCUAGUUGGUGGGGUAGUGGCCUACCAAGGCAAUGAUGGGUAGCCGGGUUGAGAGACCGACCGGCCAGAUUGGGACUGAGACACGGCCCAGACUCCUACGGGAGGCAGCAGCC